rnacentral:rRNA from 1 species
GUGGUGCUUGCACCGCUAUAGCCGAGUGGCGGACGGGUGAGUAACACGUGACCAACCUGCCUUUGGGAGGGGGAUAACCUGGGGAAACCCGGACUAGUACCGCAUAUCGUCUGUUCGUUGCAUAACUUACAGAUAAAAGGGAGCCUAUGCUUGCAAGCUCUCGCCCAUAGAGGGGGUCGCGGCGUAUCAGCUAGUUGGUGGGGUAACGGCCUACCAAGGCUACGACGCGUAGCGGGUUUGAGAGGACGACCCGUCACAUUGGGACUGAGAUACGGCCCAGACUCCUACGGGAGGCAGCAGUGGGGAAUUUUGCGCAAUGGCCGAAAGGCUGACGCAGCGACGCCGCGUGUGGGAUGAAGCCUUUCGGGGUGUAAACCACCGUCAGGGGGGAAGAACUUCAUCGAUGUUAAUAGCAUCGGUGGUUGACGUUACCCUCAAAGGAAGCGCCGGCUAACUCCGUGCCAGCAGCCGCGGUAAUACGGGGGGCGCAAGCGUUGUUCGGAAUUACUGGGCGUAAAGGGCAGGUAGGUGGCUUGUUAAGUCGUCUGUGAAAAUCCGGGGCUCAACCCCGCGAAAUGCAGGCGAAACUGGCAGACUAGAGACCGGUAGAGGCUAGUGGAAUUCCUGGUGUAGCGGUGGAAUGCGUAGAUAUCAGGAAGAACACCGGUGGCGAAGGCGGCUAGCUGGGCCGGAUCUGACACUGAACUGCGAAAGCGUGGGGAGCAAACAGGAUUAGAUACCCUGGUAGUCCACGCC